AUUGAACGCUGGCGGCAUGCCUAACACAUGCAAGUCGAGCGGAUGAAGCGAGCUUGCUCCUGGACUCAUCGGCGGACGGGUGAGUAAUGCCUAGGAAUUUGCCUGGUAGUGGGGGAUAACGUCCGGAAACGGGCGAUAAUACCGCAUACGUCCUGAGGGAGAAAGUGGGGGAUCUUCCGACGUCACGCUUUCAGAUUAGCCUAGGUCGGAUUAGCUGGUGUGUGGGGUAAAGGCCUACCAAGGCGACGAUGCGUAACUGGUGCGAGAGGAUGGACAGGCACAUUGUAACAGAGGAACGGCCCGCACACCUGCGGGAGGACGCAGUGGGGAAUAUUGGGCGAUGGGGCAAUGCCUGAUACAGCACUGCCGCGUGUGUCAAGAAGCUCUUAGGACUCUAAAGCGCUUAAAGUCGUGGGGAAGUGCAGUAAGUUAAUCCCUGGCUGUUUUGACGGUACCGGCAGAAUAAGCUCCGGCUAACUUCGUG
rnacentral:rRNA from 1 species